AACUAUUAACCCAUUCCACACUCAAUUGCCAGGCACCUUUCUUUUCAUUAGCUAAGAAACCAUCAUUUUGGGCAAUCCAACACACAAAACUCCCCACCUUUUACUUCCUCAAUCUCCUCUCUCGGCUCUCUCCCAGAGGACACAACAGGGAAGCCAAAAAGAAAAAAAGAAAAUCUCCAUCCUUCUCGGCUCUCUCCCUCACAGAACAAAAAGAAGAAAACACUCCCUCACUUUGCACACGGCUCACUCUCUCCCUCUCUCGGACUUGGGCAGAGGAAAGAAACAGAAAACACACAAGAAGAAGAAGAAAAAUCCCCCUCAAUCUCUCGGUUCUCCUUUCUCUUUCCCCUCUCAAUCUCACACACACCUACAUUGAGGUAAUUUUAGUUUUGUUUAGCACAUUAAGGCCAUGCUUCAUUGUUUAAUUUUCUUUUGCUUUUGCUGGUUUCCUUGUUGUUGUUGUAUUGUUAAAAAAUUGGGAAAUGGCAUGAACCAGAUUUAGGAAAAGGAAAGGUUUCUUGUGAAUGCAUGUUAAUUGUUUGAAAAAAUGCCAAAAAGAAUUUUAGGGACUGUUUUACCUUAAUGUAGUCUUUUGUUGUUGUUUUCUGGUUAGCUAAGAUUAUAGUUGUAAUGUAGAGAUUAUAAGGAGUAUUGUAAUAUAUUUUUUAUGAUUUUUGGUGGGGGUUUAAAGGUUUUAAAAAAAUAAAAACUGGACUGAUUUCUUGGCUUUUUGGCCACUUUAGGGCCAAUUUUUGUUAAAACUAAGCCCGAAAAUGGAAUCUACGCGAAAAAUCGAGUGAGGGGUGUAUUUUG
rnacentral:lncRNA from 1 species